UGGGGAAUUUUGGACAAUGGGCGCAAGCCUGAUCCAGCCAUGCCGCGUGAGGGAAGAAGGCCUUCGGGUUGUAAACCUCUUUCGGGCGGGACGAAACGGGGCGCACGAAUAGUGCGUCUUACUGACGGUACCGCAAGAAGAAGCACCGGCUAACUACGUGCCAGCAGCCGCGGUAAUACGUAGGUGGCAAGCGUUGUCCGGAUUUACUGGGCGUAAAGAGCCCGCAGGCGGUCCAAUAAGUUCUUGGUGAAAUCUCCUGGCUCAACUGGGAGGGUGCCUGGAAAACUGUUGGACUUGAGGCAGGGAGAGGGAUGUGGAAUUCCCGGUGUAGUGGUGAAAUGCGUAGAUAUCGGGAGGAACACCGGUGGCGAAGGCGCCGCUCUGGGCCGAAACUGACGCUGAGGAGCGAAAGCAUGGGUAGCAAACAGGAUUAGAUACCCCGGUAGUCCCUGAGCGGGCUGGCAAGGCGCAU
rnacentral:rRNA from 1 species